rnacentral:rRNA from 1 species
AAGAAAGUAAUUAAGGGCGUACGGCGAAUGCCUUGGCUCUCAGAGGCGAUGAAGGACGUGACAAGCUGCGAUAAGCCUCGGGUAGGUGCAAAUAACCUUUGAUCCGGGGAUUUCCGAAUGGGGCAACCCGGCCAUUUGAAGAAUGGUCAUCCCGAUUUAUCGGGAAGCUAACCCAGGGAACUGAAACAUCUAAGUACCUGGAGGAAAAGAAAACAAUAGUGAUUCCCUAAGUAGUGGCGAGCGAACGGGGAAUAGCCCAAACCAAUAUUGUUACGGCAAUAUUGGGGUUGUAGGACUGUAAUAAGGACUGUAAAUUGGUAGCAGAAUACUUCUGGAAAGUUGAACCAUAGAAGGUGAUAGUCCUGUAAGCAAAACCGAUUUACUACCUAACAGUAUCCUGAGUACCGCGGGACCGGAGAAAUCCUGUGGGAAUCUGCCAGCACCAUCUGGUAAGGCUAAAUACUCCUGAGAGACCGAUAGUGAACUAGUACCGUGAGGGAAAGGUGAAAAGUACUUCGAACAGAAGAGUGAAAUAGAACCUGAAACCGUACGCUUACAAGCGGUCGGAGGCCAAAUUAGUCCAUACGGACUGAAAGUAGCUGACGGCGUGCCUUUUGCAUAAUGAGCCUACGAGUUACUCCUCUUUAGCAAGGUUAAUCCCAAUAACAGGGAGAAGCCGAAGCGAAAGCGAGUCUGAAUAGGGCGUUUAGUUAGAGGGGGUAGACGCGAAACUUAGUGAUCUACCCAUGGUCAGGUUGAAGUCCCGGUAACACGGGAUGGAGGACCGAACCAUUACACGUUGAAAAGUGUUUGGAUGAACUGUGGGUAGGGGUGAAAGGCUAAUCAAACUAAGAGAUAGCUCGUACUCCCCGAAAUGCAUUUAGGUGCAGCCUCGAGUUAAGUGUCAUAGAGGUAGAGCUACUGAUUGGGCUAGGGGGCUUCACCGCCUACCAAACCCUGACAAACUCCGAAUGCUAUGACAUGUUUCUCGGGAGUGAGGCAGUGGGUGCUAAGGUCCAUUGCCGAGAGGGAAACAACCCAGACUAUCAGCUAAGGUCCCUAAAUAUAUGCUAAGUUGAUUUAACGAGGUCUGAUUGCUUUGACAGCUAGGAUGUUGGCUUGGAAGCAGCCAUUCAUUUAAAGAGUGCGUAACAGCUCACUAGUCGAGCGAUCGGGCAUGGAUGAUAAUCGGGCAUUAAGCAUAUUACCGAAGCUAUAGAUACUGACGUUUACGUCAGUGUGGUAGGGGAGCAUUCCAGUUGCGCUGAAGGUGUAUCGUAAGGUAUACUGGAGCGUCUGGAAAAGAAAAUGUAGGCAUAAGUAACGAUAAUGCGGGCGAGAAACCCGCACACCGGAAGACUAAGGUUUCCUGAUCAACGCUAAUCGGAUCAGGGUUAGUCGGGACCUAAGGCGAACCCGAAGGGGGUAGCCGAUGGACAACUGGUUAAUAUUCCAGUACCAGCAAUUACUGCGAUGAGGUGACGAAGGAGUGAAAAACCCGCGUACUGACGGAAUAGUACGUUGAAGAGUGUAGGUAUACAUUCAGCAGGAAAAUCCACUGAAUGUGCUGAAACUCGAUAGUACCGUGAGUCUUCGGACAAGCGGAUAGUGGUUCUAAUCAUACUUCCAAGAAAAACCUCUAAGCUUCAGGUAUUUGCUGCCCGUACCGUAAACCGACACAGGUAGUCGAGGAGAGUAUCCAAAGGUGCUCGAGUGAUUCAUGGCUAAGGAACUAGGCAAAUUAACCCUGUAACUUCGGGAGAAAGGGUGCCAUUCUUUUUUUAUUCUUCUAUUAGAGGGAUAUAAGGGGGAUGGCCGCAGAAAAAUGGCCCAGGCGACUGUUUAUCAAAAACACAUGGCUCUGCUAAAUUUAAAGAUGACGUAUAGGGCCUGACACCUGCCCGGUGCCGGAAGGUUAAGUGGAGAUGUUAUUCUGACUUCGGUUGGGAGAAGCUUUGAAAUGAAGCCCCGGUAAACGGCGGCCGUAACUAUAACGGUCCUAAGGUAGCGAAAUUCCUUGUCGGGUAAGUUCCGACCUGCACGAAUGGUGUAACGAUCUGGGCACUGUCUCAGCCAUGAGCUCGGUGAAAUUGUAGUUCCGGUGAAGAUG